rnacentral:misc_RNA from 1 species
GCCGCGAGGUCCAGAUCAUGUAUCAUCUCACUGGUCACAGGAAUAUAGUGGAGCUAAAGGGAGCAUAUGAGGAUAGGCACUCGGUGAACUUGGUGAUGGAGCUAUGCGCGGGAGGGGAGUUGUUUGAUCGGAUCAUAGCUAAGGGUCAUUAUUCAGAGAGGGCAGCAGCCAAUCUAUGUAGGCAGAUCGUGACUGUUGUGCAUGAUUGUCAUUCCAUGGGAGUUAUACAUAGGGAUUUGAAGCCUGAGAAUUUUCUUUUCUUGAGUACUGAUGAGAAUUCCCUUUUGAAGGCUACUGAUUUUGGCCUCUCCGUGUUCUUUAAGCCAGGUGAUGUAUUUAAAGACCUUGUUGGAAGUGCGUAUUAUGUAGCUCCUGAAGUAUUACGUCGAAAUUAUGGAGCUGAGGUUGAUAUUUGGAGUGCUGGGGUUAUACUGUAUAUUCUUCUUAGUGGGGUCCCGCCCUUUUGGGGAGUGACUGAAAAGGCCAUUUUUAAUUCUAUUCUCUGGGGACAUAUCAAUUUCUCCUCUGAUCCAUGGCCUUCCAUAUCCAGCAGCGCCAAAGAUCUUGUGAAGAAUAUGCUAAGAGUUGAUCCUAAGGCCCGACUUUCAGCGAUAGAAGUCCUAAAUCAUCCAUGGAUGCGAG